GACGAACGCUGGCGGCGUGCAUAAUACAUGCAAGUAGAACGCAGUUGCGCACGGGUGAGUCACGCGUAGGUAACUGCCUCAUAGCGGGGGGUCACUAUUGGAAACGAUAGCUAAUACCUCAUACUGUUAGCUUGCCCUGCGUUGUAUUAGCUAGUUGGUGAGGUACAGGCUCACGAAGGCGACGAUACAUAGCCGAACUGAGAGGGAGAUCGGCCACACGGGGACUGAGACACGGCCCAGAUUCCGAGGGGAGGCAGAAGUAGGGAAUGUUCGGAAAGGGAAGCAAGUCUUACCGAGCAACGCGGCAUGAGUGAAGAAGGUUUUCGGAUCGUAAAGCUCUGUUGUUAGAGAAGCGGUAACUAACCGGAAAGGGACGGCUAACUACGUGCCAGCAGCCGAGGAAAUAC
rnacentral:rRNA from 1 species